rnacentral:rRNA from 1 species
UACAGAGGUCUCAAGCGUUGUUCGGAUUCAUUGGGCGUAAAGGGUGCGUAGGUGGCGGGGUAAGUCGGGUGUGAAAUCUUGGAGCUUAACUCCGAAACUGCAUUCGAUACUGCCGUGCUUGAGGACUGGAGAGGAGACUGGAAUUUACGGUGUAGCGGUGAAAUGCGUAGAUAUCGUAAGGAAGACCAGUGGCGAAGGCGGGUCUCUGGACAGUUCCUGACGCUGAGGCACGAAGGCCAGGGGAGCAAACGGG